rnacentral:rRNA from 1 species
GCGUAUAUUAAAGUUGUUGCAGUUAAAACGCUCGUAGUCGGAUUUCGGGGCGGGCCUGCCGGUUUGCCGAUGGGUAUAUACUGGUGGGUGCGUCCUUCCUUCCGGAGACCGCGCCUCCUCUUAACUGAGCGGGCGUGGGAGACGGAUCGUUUACUUUGAAAAAAUCAUAGUGUUUCAAGCAGGCAUUUCGCUUUUGCAUGGAUUAGCAUGGGAUAAUGAAAUAGGACUUUGGUGCUAUUUUGUUGGUUUCGAGCACCGAAGUAAUGAUUAACAGGGACAGUCAGGGGCACUCGUAUUCCGCAGAGAGAGGUGAAAUUCUCAGACCCGCGGAAGACGAACCACUGCGAAAGCAUUUGCCAGGGAUGUUUUCACUGAUCAAGAACGAAAGUUAGGGGAUCGAAGACGAUCAGAUACCGUCGUAGUCUUAACCAUAAACGAUGCCAACUAGGGAUUCCGAGAUGUUGUUUUUGACUCUCGGAGCACCUUACGGGAAACUAAAGUCUUUGGGUUCCGGGGGGAGUAUGGUCGCAAGGCUGAAACUUAAAGGAAUUGACGGAAGGGCACCACCAGGAGUGGAGCCUGCGGCUUAAUUUGACUCAACACGGGGAAACUUACCAGGUCCAGACAUUGUGAGGAUUGACAGAUUGAGAGCUCUUUCUUGAUUCGAUGGGUGGUGGUGCAUGGCCGUUCUUAGUUGGUGGAGUGAUUUGUCUGGUUAAUUCCGUUAACGAACGAGACCUUAGCCUAUUAAAUAGUAACGCGAACUCUUCGUUGGCGGCGUACUUCUUAGAAGGACA